AUGAAGGAGUGGGAUGUCAGAAGCCCAGCCAUGAUUGGUUAUUGUAAUGCAGUGAGGAAGCUGGAAAAGAAGUUUGAGGGUUUGGAGCUUCACCAUAUACCCCGAUUGAAAAAUCAAGCUGCAGAUGAGUUGGCAAAGAUAGGAUCAAAGAGAGAGGCCACUCCCCGAAAUGUGUUUUUGGAACAUAUUUAUUCACCUUCGGUUCAGGAAGAUCCUUUCACCGAAGAGUCACAACAGCCCUAG
rnacentral:rRNA from 1 species